GGAAUUUUGGACAAUGGGGGCAACCCUGAUCCAGCCAUUCCGCGUGAGUGAAGAAGGCCUUCGGGUUGUAAAGCUCUUUCGCAAGGGAAGAAAACUUAUGAUCGAAUAAAUCAUCAGGCUGACGGUACCUUGAUAAGAAGCACCGGCUAACUACGUGCCAGCAGCCGCGGUAAUACGUAGGGUGCGAGCGUUAAUCGGAAUUACUGGGCGUAAAGCGUGCGCAGGCGGUUUUGUAAGUCGGAUGUGAAAUCCCCGGGCUCAACCUGGGAACUGCGUUCGAAACUGCAAGGCUAGAGUGUGUCAGAGGGGGGUAGAAUUCCACGUGUAGCAGUGAAAUGCGUAGAGAUGUGGAGGAAUACCAAUGGCGAAGGCAGCCCCCUGGGAUAACACUGACGCUCAUGCACGAAAGCGUGGGGAGCAAACAGGAUUAGAUACCCUGGUAGUCCACGCCCUAAACGAUGUCAACUAGUUGUUGGUAGAGUAAAAUCUAUGAGUAACGUAGCUAACGCGUGAAGUUGACCGCCUGGGGAGUACGGUCGCAAGAUUAAAACUCAAAGGAAUUGACGG
rnacentral:rRNA from 1 species